GGGUGCGAUCAUACCAGCACUAAUGCACCGGAUCCCGUUAGAACUCUGCAGCUAAGCGUGUUAAUACUAAGUCGGAUGACCACUUGGGAAGUCCUCGUGUUACAUCCC
rnacentral:rRNA from 1 species